rnacentral:rRNA from 1 species
UACGUAGGUGACCAGCGUUGUCCGGAUUUACUGGGCGUAAAGAGCGCGCAGGCGGUCGUUCAAGUCGAGUGUGAAAGCCCCCGGCUCAACUGGGGAGGGUCACUCGAUACUGAUCGACUUGAAGGCAGGAGAGGGAAGCGGAAUUCCCGGUGUAGUGGUGAAAUGCGUAGAUAUCGGGAGGAACACCAGUGGCGAAGGCGACACGCUGGGCCGUACCUGACACUGAUGCGCGACAGCAUGGGGAGCAAACAGG